rnacentral:lncRNA from 10 species
GCUUCCCGGCCGGGUGAGCGGCUCGGGGGGAGGCGGGGCGAGGAGGCCUGGGCCCGCAGGGAGGGCGUGUCCGCCACCCAGGAGGGGCGGUUCUCGGGGUGGCGGAUGGGGCAGCGGGGAGGAUGCGGCGGUCCGACUCGGGUUCUGUUGGGACAGCUCCUCUGCGCCCCGUAGGUCCCUCGGUCAGCGCCUUCCCUUGGGCGCGGCGACCCGGCGCGGGUUUCCAGGGGACAGCUGCCCGGCGCCCCUGAGGUCCCUCGACAGGCACGGCGACCCGGGCACCUGCUGCCGCGACCCUGAUCCUCCGCCGUCGUCGGGCAGGUUGCGGUCCCCGCGGUUCCCUGCAUCUGUUAAGAGGGCGGGGGCCGGGAAGGCGGUGUCCGGGGACGGUGCCCUUGUCCUCGAGGCGGCCCUGGACGCGUCGCCUGCGGGGCCUGAACCGAGGACCCCCCCGUACCCCGCUUUGUCCUGGUGAGGCGCUCCUGCCGCGCAGCGGCAUCUUCCUCUGUUAACGUCGAGAAUGAGUAGUGAAGGCUGCUCAUUAUCCUGCAUUGUAAAGUAAAACUUGUCUUUUUAGAAGCGUCUCCUGAAAAUUGGCGCAUCUCCUGUGCUUCUCUGGGUUGUAUUGGGAAACUGGGCCAGUCGCUGUCAGGACUGUCCUGUUGGUAGGUCUCGAGGGAAAGAAAUGGGAGAGAAACCUACCCCGUAAAUAUUUUCCUACUCAGGUGCUUUUCGAACUACCUAUUAGGUGAUUGCCUUUUUUUUUUUUUUUUUUUUUCCUGGAACAAAUUACAAACUGCAGGUAGAAAUCAGGAAGGCCUCUUUAGGCUCCUCGCCAGGCAGCCUUUUUAGCAUUUUUCUGAAUGUGAACAGGUCCAAACGACAGAGCAGAAUUUGAAAAGAAAGGUUUUGCUGCAGAUUCAUAACGAGGACUUUAUUUUUCAUUGGUAUUUUAAUGGUAAUGGUAUAGCAAUGUUUUAUUUUUAAUGUUUUUUUUAAAUGGCUACUAAAAUUUUAUUUUGAAAUCACAGCUGUUUCAGUCACCCCCAAGAAACCUUUAAAACGUCUUAUUAGAAACAUUUUUAUAUAUAGGAACAUUUAGCCAUUUAUACACAUUUCUAAGAUAGAAAUCACAAUGAAGAUACGUUGUUUCACUAUUCCAAGUUCCAAGUAACCAUGGUGAAUAUGGUUUCCCCAUUCCAAGUAACCAUUGUGAAUGUGGUUAUACACCUCCAGCCUGGGUGACAGAGCAAGACUCUGUCUCUAAAUAAAUAAGUAAAUUCAGUUUGGACCAAUGAAGAAGGUAAUAUGUAAAUAUGGAAUAUUGGGAAAAAUUGACCACGUUAUUUGGAGUUAAUGUUAAGGAAUCAAAGGAAACAUUGAACUAAUUGGACUUAGACUCAUCUCUGCUAUGACUAUCAUUCUACUUUAGAUCCCUAAUGCCAGGCAAAUAGUCCCUCCUUAUUAAGAAUAAAUGUACUGGCUGGGCAUGGUGGUUCAUACUUAUAAUCCCAGCACUUUGGGAGGCUGAACUGGGAGGAUCACCUGAGGCCAGGAGUUUGAGACUAGCCCUGGCAACAUAGCAAGACCCUGUCUCUACAAAAAAAUUUUUAAAAAAUUAGCUGGGUAUGGGGUAUGCACCUAUAGUCCCAGCUACUCAAAGA